rnacentral:rRNA from 1 species
UACGGAGGGCGCGAGCGUUGUUCGGAAUCAUUGGGCGUAAAGCGCGUGUAGGCGGCUUGGCAAGUCGGGUGUGAAAUCCCGGGGCUCAACUCCGGAACUGCAUUCGAUACUGCCUCGCUAGAGUCCCGGAGAGGAAGGCGGAAUUCCCGGUGUAGAGGUGAAAUUCGUAGAUAUCGGGAGGAACACCAGUGGCGAAGGCGGCCUUCUGGACGGUGACUGACGCUGAGAUGCGAAAGCGUGGGGAGCAAACAGG